CUGUCAACAACCACCGCCACGACCCUUCCACCCGUGCCUAUGCCCGCGCCCGCGCCCGCGACGCACCACGUGGACCUCGCGGAGGUUCCACACGUUCCUGGACUGCAUGCAGAAGACGGACGUCAUCGAGCGAACAGCACGAAGCAAGGUAUCACCGUCUUCGUGCCCAAGGACUCGGCUUUCGCGGCGUUUGGCGAGGAGACGACGCUGGGCAACCUCAGCUCCGGUCGCUGCUCCCGUACCACGCGCUGGGCGGAGUUCGACCAGCUGAGCAGCCACGGCCCGGUGGACACCCUCGCCGGCUCGCAGUGUUAG
rnacentral:misc_RNA from 1 species